CAUAUGGAAUUCAGCUACAUCAUCAAAGCUAUGAGAAGCAAUAAGAAGCUUUGUUAGUGUUUUGGAGUCAAAUAUGACUAGAUGUCAUGUGGAUGAUUGAGUAUAAGAACUAGAACCGCAACCGCUUCCCAAAAGCUGAAGUAGUGUUUCCUUGUUAGAAGAUACAAAGCCAAAGACUCAUUCGGACUUCGGCUACACCAUCAAAGCUUUGAGAAGCAAUAAGAAGCUUGGUUAGUAUUUUGGAGUCAAAUAAGACAAGAUGUUAUUU
rnacentral:sRNA from 1 species